GAUGAACGCUGGCGGCGUGCUUAACACAUGCAAGUCGAACGGAAAGGCCAGUGCUUGCACUGGUACUCGAGUGGCGAACGGGUGAGUAACACGUGGGUGAUCUGCCCUGCACUUCGGGAUAAGCCUGGGAAACUGGGUCUAAUACCGGAUAGGACAAUGGUUUGGAUGCCGUUGUGGAAAGUUUUUUCGGUGUGGGAUGAGCUCGCGGCCUAUCAGCUUGUUGGUGGGGUAAUGGCCUACCAAGGCGUCGACGGGUAGCCGGCCUGAGAGGGUGUACGGCCACAUUGGGACUGAGAUACGGCCCAGACUCCUACGUGAGGCAGCAGUGGGGAAUAUUGCACAAUGGGCGCAAGCCUGAUGCAGCGACGCCGCGUGGGGGAUGACGGCCUUCGGGUUGUAAACUCCUUUCGCUAGGGACGAAGCGUAUUUGUGACGGUACCUGGAGAAGAAGCACCGGCUAACUACGUG
rnacentral:rRNA from 1 species